rnacentral:sRNA from 1 species
UACGGAGGGUGCAAGCGUUACUCGGAAUCACUGGGCGUAAAGAGCGCGUAGGCGGGAUAGCAAGUCAGAUGUGAAAUCCUAUGGCUUAACCAUAGAACUGCAUUUGAAACUGUUAUUCUAGAGUAUGGGAGAGGUAGGUGGAAUUCUUGGUGUAGGGGUAAAAUCCGUAGAGAUCAAGAGGAAUACUCAUUGCGAAGGCGACCUGCUAGAACAUAACUGACGCUGAUGCGCGAAAGCGUGGGGAGCAAACAGG